GUGAAAUCCCGUGACCCCCCGGGGACCGCCCGCGGCGAAGGCACCCCACCAGCAGGCAUCCGCCGAUCAGCGAACCAAUGCGUGGGGAGCGAAGAUGAUCAGAUACCGUCGUAGUCCAUACCGUCAACGAUGCCGGCCCCGCCCUCCCACUGCCACUGAGAAAUCCCAAGCGUCCGGGUUCAGGGGGGAGUAUAGCCGCAAGGCCGAAACUUAAAGGAAUUGACGGAAUGGCACCACCAGGCGUGGAGCCUGCGGCCCAAUUUGACCCAACACGGGGCACCUCACCGGGUCAGGACGCUGGCGGGAUUGACAGACAGCGGAUCGCUUUUAUCCGCUUGUGGCUGCGAAAAGGAGAGCCCGCCUGUCACUGGAUGUCCGGGUUGUUCGGCCCCCACGCCUUCAUCACCGGCGUGCUGCAGGCCUACUCCCGCCAGCACAACGUUCCCGUCGACACCUUAGGCUUCUCGUUCGAGGUCCUUGCCGCCCCGCAGGACACCCUCACACAGCCCCCCGCCUCGGGCGUCUACGUGUUUGGCCUGUUCGCCGACAGCUGCCGCUGGAACUCCACUGACCACAUCAUAGACGAAUGCUUCGCUAGUCAAAUCUACUCCCCCAUGCCCGUCCUCCACUUCCUCCCCGAAGCCAACCAUACCACCCCACCCGGCCACUACGUGUGCCCCCUCUACAAGACCACCGUACGCCGUGGGGUGCUGUCCUCGCUGGGGCAGUCAACAAACUUCAUUCUCCCCAUCGAGCUCCCCACGGAGUACCCCCCCAGCUUCUGGAUACAGCAGGGG
rnacentral:rRNA from 1 species